rnacentral:rRNA from 1 species
UAAUACGUAGGGGGCAAGCGUUAUCCGGAUUUACUGGGUGUAAAGGGAGCGUAGACGGUACUGCAAGUCUGAAGUGAAAGCCCGCGGCUCAACCGCGGGACUGCUUUGGAAACUGUGGAACUGGAGUGUCGGAGAGGUAAGUGGAAUUCCUAGUGUAGCGGUGAAAUGCGUAGAUAUUAGGAGGAACACCAGUGGCGAAGGCGGCUUACUGGACGAUAACUGACGUUGAGGCUCGAAAGCGUGGGGAGCAAACAGG